rnacentral:lncRNA from 1 species
UCAACCCCCGCUUCUGUUGAUUCUUCUGAUGCAACCCGUUUGUGUUUUCCCCGCAAUCCACCCAUUACAGUAUCCUUUGCGGUGGCUGUUGCUGCGGCGUUGCACUUAUGGCUAUAAAUUUGAGUGUUGGUCGAUGAUGGUGUGAUCCUGCGUGUAGUGUGCUUGUGCUGUCAUGUUUUCACUUCUUGUAUUUGUAAUUCGAUUAGGAAAAAUUGCGUCAGAUGAAUGCUGUUUUUGGGUUUCAUUGGCGAAAUAUUCUCCUAUAUAAUUAAGGUGGUGUCACGGGGAUUACUACUCUGGAUAUCAAAACUUUAGAAUAGAUUUCAUGUAACAAGUCUCUUAUGAAUGGCCUCUACGCAGCGGUCAGCAGUUGGUCGAUUGGCGGUAGGGGGUCCUCGUGUCAAGCCCCAGAUCUAAGCCUAGAGGCAUGGCAACUACUUUUAGAUUUCAAUCCCAAAAGUACUCAAUCAUGGGAAUAACAUUCGAAAACAACCAAACUAUAGCCGACCACAAUCCGAACAUCAAAACUUGAACAGUAAAUGAAUCAAACUGUAAGAAACUCCAGAGUAAAUAAUAAAUCUCCGAAGUAUAAUAAUUACAGUAAGGGUAGCUAGUUAUUUCAAGAUUCAACUUGCCAAAAAAAAAUAGCUAUAGCCUAUAAAGACCAUUCCCUCACCUAUUCCAUUGCUCCUCUUGGGCUCUUGAGCUAGAUGCUUUAAAGAUGGCCAAAAAAUAGGGUGACCUUGAAUGCCUAAAUAUAAAUGCGUUGAUGACGCUUUUACAAUUUAGGUAUGACAGAUUUAUCAAGCUUUUUAACUAAUGGUUUUUUAAUAGCAUAUAUCAAUGCUACUUUGAAUUCAUAUUGAAAGCAAAAAGCAUACACUUACCUGGUUUAUUAAAGGGUGCCAACUUCUAUGGGACUUAGCUAGCCUCGUAUUUGUUCUUCUACCUGUGAAGCUAGGGAAUCAAACUUUACUGGUAUGGUAAUCUCUAAUUUGACCCCAUAAAGGUUGGGUCUAAUUUAUCAUCACCGUCAUCAUCAUCACUCCCCCAUUGAGGGAGUACAAAACCUGACAGCACAAUCACUAGCAUGUCAAGGCCAAACAUAAUCAAAGUCCAAAAACCAAUCAGCUAAAAGAAAAAUAAGUUCAGUUUUCUAUUACUAGGUUGACUAUCUAAUUUUUGGCCGAAUCCUAAUGAUUUUAAAAUAUAUUUAUACACUUAAGAGGAGUCUAUAAUUAUAUAAUAUUAAAAAAAAAUUUCUUAAGAUAUCACAAAAGACCCAAAACUUCUAUUUGAUAUUUCUUUAUUAUUUUAAAUAUUGCAUAUUGAAUUGAAAAAAGUAGUAUUCAUGAAGGGUAAAAACCUUGAUUUCUUAUAGGAACAACCCCCACCCCGAAGAGAGGAAUCGAAAAAUAUCCUGCAAUAAAACACCAUCUGAAAAGAAGAAUCCAAAAG